rnacentral:lncRNA from 1 species
CUUCUACUAGUGUAUAUCUAGUGUUUUCAACUGGCUUCAAACCCCUAGGAUGACAUGCUCUGAACUGGUAGAUUGGACAUUCUUGAUGAAGUACAGCUGCUCUUUCAGAGGAGUCCCUUCUUUGAACAGAUAAUUUCAGUGACAAACUUUCAUUACGAAGUUGUAAUCCUCUCAUAGCCUGAUUCUGCCACUGGCCAUGAGCUGCUCUGGCCCUGGCUGUUACUGCUGUCAAGGGACUGCAAGCUGCUGCUGAUGCUGGAGCUGCCUCCUCCUCAUCCACUGCAACAGCCAUUUGCUCCUCAUGCCACCCCUUUAAGGGACAGAGCUGUCUGCAGUGCCCAGUCAGAAAGAAACUGAGAAUGGACAGUACCUCUUGUGAUCUAGUCCACUCCCUUCACGAGCAAGGUCAGCUACAGCUGGUUCCCUGCAGGCUUCUCAG